UAUCUAUGAGUCAUCAGUGUCCUGAGAAGCUAAACGUCCUACUAAGGAUCCUGCAAAGGGAAAACAGAAGAGGAACUUGCACUUUUUGAGAACUUGCUGUGUGCCAUAAGCCUAAGUCCCUAUGUGGGAAGGAUUCUACCCACACAUGACAGAGGAGGAGACUGAAGCAUGAAAAAGAAAUGGCGUUUUGCUGGAGAAAGCAGCAUAGCGGAAUGUAAAGCGGUAAAGCGUGUAUGCUCUGGAGCCACAGACCUAGAUGGUGAAGUCUAGCUCUGGUACUUGACAGAUCCCAUUCUCCAUCAUCUCCACCCUGCUCUGUGACCCAGUCGGCUGCUCUGCUUGAACGACAUCAACAAGCUUCCUGCAUCCUCAUGUCUAGCUGAACUCAACCAGUGGGAAGUACCAGCAGGAGAUCAAAAGAAAGGAGCAAAGUACAGUCAAGAUGUUUAUUUAUUUCUCUGUUCUUUUCUGCCAAAGGUACACAAAAUCAGACACUAGUUAAAGGCAUUCAGGACAGAUUUUAUAUGGUAAUAACUAUCGCAAUGGAGUAGAGAGUCCAGUGUGAACUGAACUUCACCAAAACAAAAAGCUGGAGUCUUUUUAAAGGCUGGGGUAUGCUAGGGGAAAGGCACUGACAGGAAGAAGAACAGGGCUUGGUCCAUGGGCUUAGGCCAUCUGAGUCUGUUAACUGGUGUUUAUCAAAGUUGGGUUCCUGAUCCCUGCAGAGACUAGGAGACAAGGGCCCUAUCUUCAGGUGCUGGCUGGAACAAAUAGUAAAUUCUUUUGGCAGGCUUUCCCAGGCAGGAACCUAAGGGGACUGGAAUCAUAAUCCUAGGGAUGUGACCUUGAGCUGUUAGACUAUGCUAGGGUUUACAUCUCUUCGUGCAGAGGAUUGGAUGGAGUCCUUAAGGGUCAAGACAGUUCUCUUUUCAGUUCUCAUUUCCCUAACAGGUCCACUGUGGGAUGGCUGCUUCUCUUGACCCAUGGUUUCAGCUCCUGACAGGUAGCCACUCCAUGCAGCCCUUCUCUCAUUGGGUUCUGGUGACCAUCCUCUCCUCUUGCCUCUUUGGGUAUAACAGUGGAUAGUGAUACUCUUGAUAAUAAUACUAUUCCUCAUGGUUUUCCUAUACUGUGACCACACUUUUGUAAAGAGUGAUUUAAUAAAUAUGCAGUAACUGUGGUUCUCAAUGUUCUCCCAUAUCUCUUGAAGCAUUUUGGCAUGCUUUGGUUGACUUACAACUGCUGCACCUGCAUCCUGUGCCUGCAAACAUUUUCUGGAACCUUGGAAGUCUCCUUUGCCCACAACUCUAGGAGGCCAGCUGUGCUGGGAAACUAACAUCCUCCACCCAUGAGCAGAUCUCCAACAAUGGCUCUCAGGAGUUGGUGAAUGAAUACCCAGCUCCCUCAUCCUUGGGUGGUAUCAUGCUAAGGCAUGUGUUUUCAACAACUAUGCACAGAGUUUUCCUAGGUAAUAAACUCUAGUCACCCAUUCUCAGUUAUCUAUUCUUGCCUAACAAACCAACCUAA
rnacentral:lncRNA from 1 species